rnacentral:lncRNA from 1 species
UAAUAACCGUGACGGUUUCAUUUUUCGCAUAGUUUUUUGCAAUAAUCCUACGAAAAUCUUAGUCUUUUUAUUCAUCAAAGCACAGACAAAUGUAUAAUUUAACAAUUGCAACAUACAAUUAAGCAUUUUCCUUUGUAGCCUCAUUUUUUGAAUUUUGACUAUCAAGCAAAAUUUCAGUCACCCAAGUAAAUCCCUUUGGUGUACACAUCUCAAGUCCAGUUUGCACAUUGUUGUCUUUAAUAUUGACAUCACAGUUGUUUUUAACCAGAAUUGUCACAAUAUUUAUAGAUUCAUAUUCCUUAUUUUCACAGGCAAUAAGGAAGGAUGACCUGUGCUAAUUAUCACACUUGUUUAUGUCACAACCACUCUCUAAUAACAGUUUAACGAUAUCUGUCAUACAUCUUAGAUAUCUAUGUGAUGUACAUGUCUUGCAUGCUAUAUACAAAGGAAUCUGAUCAAAGGUAUCUUCCUGAUUUGCAUCACAUUUAUUUUGCAGUAGGAGGACAACAACCUCUUUAUGAUAAUGUUCCUUUCGAUGAUAUUUUGAAUAACAACUUAUCCAAAUCAGAUUGUCUUGU